rnacentral:rRNA from 1 species
GAAUAUUGGUCAAUGGGCGCAAGCCUGAACCAGCCAUGCCGCGUGCAGGAUGACGGUCCUAUGGAUUGUAAACUGCUUUUGUACAGGAAGAAACAGUUCUACGUGUAGAACCUUGACGGUACUGUAAGAAUAAGGAUCGGCUAACUCCGUGCCAGCAGCCGCGGUAAUACGGAGGAUCCAAGCGUUAUCCGGAAUCAUUGGGUUUAAAGGGUCCGUAGGCGGUUUAGUAAGUCAGUGGUGAAAGCCCAUCGCUCAACGGUGGAACGGCCAUUGAUACUGCUAAACUUGAAUUAUUGGGAAGUAACUAGAAUAUGUAGUGUAGCGGUGAAAUGCUUAGAGAUUACAUGGAAUACCAAUUGCGAAGGCAGGUUACUACCAAUAUAUUGACGCUGAUGGACGAAAGCGUGGGGAGCGAACAGG